rnacentral:ncRNA from 17 species
GACCGCGUGGGCGACGAAUACAAGACCCGAAAGGGGAAUAAGUCCGCCCUCCUAUGUGGGUUCUUAACCGCGCGUCCGCCCAUUU